UUAACUGUUUUUCUCCUGUGAAGCUCUGGAAGAGCUUAACCUGCCGAGCCUGCCCUCUGAGCCAAACCUGAAGACUCUCUCCUGGAUUUCCAAGCAGCUCUGGAUUUAGAGCUGGAAACUCAAACCAAGGUCAACACCCUCACUAGAAGUAAGAGGCUGAAACAGUUAUCGGACUCUGCUGAACCAAACCAUCUCCGGACCCAACAGUUCCUCUCCCAAAGUCUCUUCUACGCAUCUCAAGACUCCAGUGAACCAGUCCCCAGGCCUGAACCAGCAAACUGUACAUUUACUACGUGCUUGUGUAACAAUAAACUUGUUAACUU